AUUGAACGCUGGCGGCAUGCCUUACACAUGCAAGUCGAACGGUAACAGGUCUUCGGAUGCUGACGAAAGGCGAACGGGUGAGUAAUACAUCGGAACGUGCCCGAUCGUGGGGGAUAACGAAGCGAAAGCUUUGCUAAUACCGCAUAAGAUCUAAGGAUGAAAGCAGGGGACCGCAAGGCCUUGCGCGAACGGAGCGGCCGAUGGCAGAUUAGGUAGUUGGUGGGAUAAAAGCUUACCAAGCCGACGAUCUGGAGCUGGUCUGAGAGGACGACCAGCCACACUGGGACUGAGACACGGCCCAGACUCCUACGGGAGGCAGCAGUGGGGAAUUUUGGACAAUGGGCGAAAGCCUGAUCCAGCCAUGCCGCGUGCAGGAUGAAGGCCUUCGGGUUGUAAACUGCUUUUGUACGGAACGAAAAGACUCUGGUUAAUACCUGGGGUCCAUGACGGUACCGUAAGAAUAAGCACCGGCUAACUACGUGCCAGCCGCCGCCGUAACAC
rnacentral:rRNA from 1 species